UUGUGCAAAAUGAUGAAGAGUCUAGGGUUUUUCCAUGAGAGUAAAUGUGUUGCUUGUUGUGUUUUUAUGGAAGAUUAUGAGUUCUAGUUGUCUAAUAAACAGCUUUUGUGAAAGAAAUUGCAUAAAAACACCUUAAAAAGGGCUAGAUUGCUAAGUUAUAAAAUGAGUUGUAAAUGUGUGAAAUAUUUGAAAUUAUGAGUUGCUAUAGUUAUGAAAAUGGUUCAUCUAGACUCAAGGAGUAAAGAAAUUGAUAAAAAUUAUUUUACGAGCCUAGGGGUAAUUUGUUAAUUUUGGUAAAAUAUAGGGGCAAAAUUGUAAAAAUAGCCCAAGUGUGUCAAUGGACUAAUUUGAUCAGUACAUUGUUUUAAUAAGUUGAAUGUGAUGUUUUAGAUGAUGAAUAUCGAGAUUUGGACCUAGAACGGAAAGAAAUCGAUUAAGGGAUAAUUACGUCUUUUUUUUACCUUUGUGGUAUUGAGGUAAGUUCGUAUGUAAACAAUACCAUGUUAUACAUGUAUUUAAAUGUUAUCAUUACAUGAAUUGUACAAAUACUAAUGUGUAUGUGAUUAAUAGAAAUAUGAUAAGACAAAGCCUUAAUAGACGAGGAAAAAUCCCGUUUGAACAUUUGGAAUAGAAUAGGAUACGAGUGACAUGUCACUAGGAAUUAUGAGUCUAGAUGACUAGCUCGAGAGUGAGCAUUGAAAUGUCAUGAGAUAUGAGGUAGCUUUAGCUACAAUUGAGGAACUUAUGUGCAAAGGCUUUUUCGAGUAUCCAAUUAGCAUUCCAAGUGUUCAACGGGUAAUCCAAGGAAAGAGUUGAUGAUGGUCCCAAUGAGGUAAGUCAUUGGUGAGUAUGCACUUGAGUUAUGUUACGAGUUGUGCAAGUAUGUAUACUAAGCCUAUGAGAAUGCCUUGAUAUGUGAUGAUCUAUGAUGCAUAAUAUGUGUUCUUACCAUGAUGGAUGAAAUGAUGUUGUAUUAAUUUUGUGAACAAUGAUCAUGAAUGAGUAACUUAGCCUUGACAGAUUUGAGUUACGGCAGUAGUGUAACUUUGAAAAUACACUAAAAAUAGUGGAAAAUGAGUUAGAGGCAGAAUAAAAUAUGGGAUUAAAUCUUAAUGAGUCUAUUUUCACAUGAAAGAAACAGGGGAAGAAAAAGAAUUCUAUAUUGUGUGAUAUUUGAAUUCUUGUAAAAUAGGGUCUGAAUGAAUUUAAGAUCCCCUGUUCUGAUUUUAUAAAUUCACCAUAAAUUGUAAACAAAUUAUUAAGAGUCAUACCUUACAUGCAUGGAUU
rnacentral:lncRNA from 1 species